CCUACGGGAGGCUGCAGUAGGGAAUAUUGCUCAAUGGGGGAAACCCUGAAGCAGCAACGCCGCGUGGAGGAUGAAGGUUUUCGGAUUGUAAACUCCUUUUGGUAGAGAAGAGAAUGACGGUAUCUAACGAAUAAGCACCGGCUAACUCCGGGCCAGCAGCCGCGGUAAUACGGAGGGUGCAAGCGUUACUCGGAAUCACUGGGCGUAAAGAGCGCGUAGGCGGGAUAGCAAGUCAGAUGUUAAAUCCUAUGGCUUAACCCUAGAACUGCAUUUGAAACUUUUAUUCUAGAGUAUGGGAGAGGUAGGUUGAAUUCUUUGUGUAGUGGUCAACUCCGUAGAGAUCCAGAGGACUACUCAUUGCGAAGGCGACCUGCUAGACCAUACCUGACGCUGCUGCGCGAAAGCGUGGGGAGCAACCAGGAUUAGAUACCCUAGUAGUC
rnacentral:rRNA from 1 species